UACGUAGGGUGCAAGCGUUAAUCGGAAUUACUGGGCGUAAAGCGUGCGCAGGCGGUUAUGUAAGACAGAUGUGAAAUCCCCGGGCUCAACCUGGGAAUUGCAUCUGUGACUGCAUCGCUAGAGUACGGUAGAGGGGGAUGGAAUUCCGCGUGUAGCAGUGAAAUGCGUAGAUAUGCGGAGGAACACCGAUGGCGAAGGCAAUCCCCUGGACCUGUACUGACGCUCAUGCACAGAAGCGUGGGAGCAAACAGG
rnacentral:rRNA from 1 species